rfam:Aedes albopictus isolate Foshan contig124840, whole genome shotgun sequence.
UGCCCAGCAGCUCCUAUCCCAACCUCCACGCGGUACCGGCCGGAAACUAUGAGCAACCUUAGGGAAAAUCGGGUAACCAACCCCGGUGGGAACUUUGGUCGUAGGCUGACAGGGAGGG